rnacentral:misc_RNA from 1 species
GAAAUGCGAUAAGUAAUGUGAAUUGCAGAAUUCAGUGAAUCAUCGAAUCUUUGAACGCACAUUGCGCCCGCCAGUAUUCUGGCGGGCAUGCCUGUUCGAGCGUCAUUACAGCCCUCAGGCCCCCGGGCCUGGCGUUGGGGAUCGGCGGAAGCCCCCUGCGGGCACAACGCCGUCCCCCAAAUACAGUGGCGGUCCCGCCGCAGCUUCCAUUGCGUAGUAGCUAACACCUCGCAACUGGAGAGCGGCGCGGCCACGCCGUAAAACACCCAACUUCUGAAUGUUGACCUCGAAUCAGGUAGGAAUACCCGCUGAACUUAAGC